CCAGGCAUCCUGACUCCAGAGACUCUUGUCACUUAGUACCUAAGAGACAUCCUUAGAUUUCCAUGAUUCUAAUGUUUCUGCAUAGUAUUAAUUUCUUUUUUAAAAAAAAUUCCUCCAGAACUUAGCUUGUUUGUGUUUUUUUUUUAUCCCCAGCUCCUUGCAUACUUGCAAAACAGUAGGCUGCUUAGUAUUUGUUGAAUCGAAUGAAAUUGAAUUGAGGUCACUCAUUUUCAAAAAUAUUACGUGACUACUAAAAAGGUUUUUCACACAUAUGAAAAUGAUUCCAAGUCCCUAGUUCUGCACACAUAUGAGAAUCAAUCACAGCCCGCAGUUCUGCACACAUAUGAAAAUAAUCCCCAAGCUGGAGGUGGAAUAGCGACCACUCAGGACCAGAGUUUUGCCUCAGCCUCCCCCUCAACCCCAUCUGAGAAAGCUUACCAGGUAGGUACAGGGACAAAUUGAAGAAACACCUGGACCCCAGGAGAGAGGGGUGCUUCGGCUUUAGCCAGUUCC
rnacentral:lncRNA from 1 species